rnacentral:rRNA from 1 species
GACGAACGCUGGCGGCGUGCUUAACACAUGCAAGUCGAACGCUGAAGCUCAGCUUUUGUUGGGUGGAUGAGUGGCGAACGGGUGAGUAACACGUGAGUAACCUGCCCCCUUCUUUGGGAUAACGCCCGGAAACGGGUGCUAAUACUGGAUAUUCACUGGUCUUCGCAUGGGGGUUGGUGGAAAGGGUUUUUCUGGUGGGGGAUGGGCUCGCGGCCUAUCAGCUUGUUGGUGGGGUGAUGGCCUACCAAGGCUUUGACGGGUAGCCGGCCUGGGAGGGUGACCGAUCACAUUGGGACUGAGAUACGGCCCAGACUACUGCGGGGGGCAGCAGUGGGGAAAAUUGCACAAUGGGCGCAAGCCUGAUGCAGCGACGCCGCGUGAGGGAUGGAGGCCUUCGGGUUGUGAACCUCUUUCGCUCAUGGUCAAGCCGCAACAAUGGUUGUGGUGAGGGUAGUGGGUAAAGAAGCGCCGGCUAACUACGUG